AGGAGUGGAAAAAGCCCCAAAUUCUUCCGAACAAGGCCGGCCUUAUGCAUUUCUUCUGAGCCACUGAGGGUGCAGUGGCACCCUGUGAACGAGGCUCUCCACCCCCGGUGCCACCCUGAGUGGAGCCAUUGUGUUUAAACCGAGGACAAAAUGUUCUUUGGAUCAACAGCUCCGGGUAUUUAUCUGCCUGUGUGAGUGAUACUCGUGAUAACAAGGCUGGGUGCAAGUUUGGGCACUUGACUCACAGCAGAUGUGAUAUCAACAGCCUAGGCUUGUCCAAAAAAUGCCACUUCUCUGUCACAGACGGGGGAAUCAGAGACUGCUUUGGGUGGAAGGGACCUUUGAGAUCAUCUUGUCCCAACCCCCUGCCAUGGGCAGGGACACCUUCCACUAUCCCAGGUUGCUCCCCCCAACCUGACCUGGAACACUUCCAUGGAUGGGAAGGAAUUUCCUUUCAUCCUUCUUCCUUUAGGAGCACAUGGCCUCGCCCAAACGCUGCUCAGGUGAGCUCCAGUGGUGCCCAAAGCUGCCCACAAAUGGAUUCUGAAGCCUCCCCUCUUUCAGACCAACCAAUGACUUGUGAUUCCUGAAGGUCCUGGAGAUCCCACCUGGAGCAGGACCUCAGAGGUGGAAAUUCCCAGUGGAGAUGCUCAGAACUAUGAAAACUUUUCCUUUAUCUCUCCUGGAUGUUCACAUUUAAAUGAAAGAUGCCUGUUCUUUAUUUAAAUGAUCUUCUGAAUGAUGUUGUUGGAAAGUCUUGAUCAAUUUAAGAAAUCCCAAAGUUUUGGGGGUGUUUUUUCUUUUCCACAUCACAGUGGAGCAGAACAAAGUGGAACAGCUCCUCCACUGGUUUUCCUUCUGUUUUAAACCUUUUGUCCUGCCCAGGAAACAGCUCAUUAACGUGACCUCAUGGAAGGACCAGACCAAGGGAAUGUUUGAAGGUUCAGCCUUUAUGAAAUGCUGUCUCUAUUUCUCCUCCCCAGCCACAAGAGUUUCUUUUUUUUUUUCUUU